UACGAAGGGGACUAGCGUUGUUCGGAAUCACUGGGCGUAAAGCGCACGUAGGCGGAUUUGUAAGUCAGGGGUGAAAUCCCGGGGCUCAACCUCGGAACUGCCUUUGAUACUGCGAAUCUUGAGUCCGAUAGAGGUGGGUGGAAUUCCUAGUGUAGAGGUGAAAUUCGUAGAUAUUAGGAAGAACACCGGUGGCGAAGGCGGCUCACUGGCUCACUUACUGACGCUCAGGCGCGAUAGCGUGGGAUCAAACAGG
rnacentral:rRNA from 1 species